CCUACGGGAGGCUGCAGUGGGGGAUAUUGCACAAUGGGGGGAACCCUGAUGCAGCGACGCCGCGUGGGUGAAGAAGCGCCUCGGCGCGUAAAGCCCUGUCAGCAGGGAAGAAAAUGACGGUACCUGAAGAAGAAGCCCCGGCUAACUACGUGCCAGCAGCCGCGGUAAUACGUAGGGGGCACGCGUUAUCCGGAUUUACUGGGUGUAAAGGGGGCGCAGACGGCGAUGCAAGCCAGGAGUGAAAGCCCGGGGCUGAACCCCGGGACUGCUCUUGAAACUGCGUGGCUGGAGUGCAGGAGGGGCGGGCGGAAUUCCUGGUGUAGCGGUGAAAUGCGUAGAUAUCAGGAGGAACACCGGUGGCGAAGGCGGCCUGCUGGACUGCAACUGACGUUGAGGCCCGAAAGCGUGGGGAGCAAACAGGAUUAGAUACCCUAGUAGUC
rnacentral:rRNA from 1 species